rnacentral:rRNA from 1 species
UACGGGGGGGGCAAGCGUUGUUCGGAAUUACUGGGCGUAAAGGGCUCGUAGGUGGCCAACUAAGUCAGACGUGAAAUCCCUCAGCUUAACCGGGGAACUGCGUCUGAUACUGGAUGGCUUGAGUUCGGGAGAGGGAUGCGGAAUUCCAGGUGUAGCGGUGAAAUGCGUAGAUAUCUGGAGGAACACCGGUGGCGAAGGCGGCAUCCUGGACCGGCAUUGACGCUGAGGAGCGAAAGCUAGGGGAGCAAACGGG